CACCCCGCAGUUCCCCCUCUGCCCGGUGCUCCAGGUCUGGUGCACAUUUAUUUAUCGAUGUAUACCGAGUGCGCCAAACUUAUUUCAGUUUUACUCACGUUUCGGUGUAUAGGGUGGAGUUAAAAGAAAUAGUUGUUGAUUUUAUUGAUUGUGUGGAGAAUAAAAUGUCUAAUCGAAAUAUGUAUUUGUUCAGUGGAUAGUUGUGAAAGUCGAAUGACAGAUCAGAUAUCGUUUUUUAGGUGACCUAAAGAUGAAGGAAGGUAUGUACCAAAUAUAAGUUCUAUUAAAUAAGUUUUAAUUAUGAAAAUGGAGUUUUAUUAUCUUUAUAUUACUUUAACUCAACCUUCUAUUUAAUCCUUUACAAGGGAUUAAUAUUAGUAAAUGAAUAUUGCAAAUAUAAUAAUUGUUUAUUUAACCACUCAACUAACAUUUAAAAUAACUCGUAUAAAAAAAAAAUAAUAAAAAAUUAUAAGCCAAUGUGCCAAGCUUGGAAAAGUGCCCUAGGAUUUAUAGGAUCCCAUAGAUACGCGGAUAAUACUCUAACGCAAUGUUAUAACCGUAUUAGAAUUUGUAGUUUGCAUUUUAAUGAUGACAGUUUUACAAAUUCCUCGAAAACCCGAAUUCAUUCGUAUGCUAUCCCAUCGAUUGGAGGACCUACCCAAACAGGACAUAUUGUAAACGAUGCACAUUUUCCUAAAGCCAGUGUUGAUGCCAUUGUUCAGACAGAAUCCUUCGAAGUAAAUGAGCCAAAGCAGCCGUUACUAAAAGUUGCAGGAACCCAAACGUCAGUAAAACUUUCAGCAGAUACGCCAAGAAAAGUUUUACUUAAGGAGCCAGUAAAAACACUAGAAAAAACUAUUACUACCCACACUUGCAAAAGAAGCCUUGAAACAGAAGUUACCAUGGAUGAAAUUUUUGGAAUCAAAUUUUUCUGAAGAAACAUGUUCUUGCUGAAUAAGGACUCAAAAGGACAUAGGUAUACUAAUGAAUUUUAACAGUUUGCUCUAAGUGUGUUUUUUCUGGGUCCAAAAGCUUACAAAAAAAUGUCCACAGUUUAUCCUCUACCAUCAAAAUCUACAUUAAACCGUUUUACGCAACAAUGGGUAAAUAAUCCAGGUUUUAACGAUUUUUUUUUUUAAAGUAAAUGAAUGUAGAGUAAAAUUGUUGCAGGAAAAAUAAAGAGACUAUAUUUUAUGCAUGGACGAAAUAUCUUUAAAAUCUCACCUUUUUUAUGAUAUUUCUAAAGUUGCAAGCAUUGAAGUGCAUUAACGAUAAUGGCAAAGGGAAUUGCUAGCAAUUGGAAACAACCCAUUGCCUAUUUUUUUAUAAUACAUCUGCACCUGUUAAUCAUUUAAAAGAUAUUUUAUCAGAAACUGUCCGAAGGAUACGCAAAACCGGUUUAAAUACUUUUGGGGUUGUAUCAGAUCAGGGUACUAAUUUUCAAAAACUAGCUAAAAGUUCUUUAAAAGUGACAAUAGAUAAUCCCACAUUGUUUGUUGACGAUGAAAAUUUAAAACUAGUUUAUUUAUUUGAUGUUCCCAACGUACUCAAGUCGACAAGAAAUAAUUUGUUUCAACACAUUCUUUGUUUAAAUGAAGGAUAAACAAGUAAAAAAUAUUUAGAAAUGAUGUAUAAUAUUGACAAAAAGAAGCAGUUCAAAAUGGCCCAUAAAUUAACAAACGACCACAUUUAUCCUAAUAAAUUUCAAAAAAUGAAAGUAAAGUUAGCUUCGCAAGUAUUUAGUCGCUCUG